rnacentral:tRNA from 1 species
GAUGCGUUAGCAUAGUUGGCCUAAUGCGCUAGCCUGUCACGCUAGAGAUCAUGGGUUCAAAUCCCAUACGCAUCGCCA